rnacentral:lncRNA from 1 species
CAAUGGGUCAGAGGACAUCAUGUCCCAAUGAUCAAAGACACACUGUGGGAAAGCUUGGCCUGAAGUUGCAGCCCUCAACGUACUUGAGAAACCAAAGGACUCAAUGACAGGGAGAUAUGCCUUGAUGUUGUAGAGUGGGGUACCUGGCCUCUGCAUUUCCUCAAACACGUGUCCACGUUUCUGAUUCAGAACACUGUAGAUACCACCAAGAGCUUGCUCAGGAGCCUGGAUUUCAACCAGGUAGACAGGCUCAAGAAGCCUGGGUUUUGCAGUAAGCUGAGAAGCAUAGAAAACUCUUCUGGCAGUAGGAAUGAUUUGACCACCUCCUCUGUGGAUAGCAUCAGCGUGAAGGACCACAUCACAUACUUCAAAACAUAUAGCUCUCAUGUUCUCCUCAGCCAAUGCACCUUCUUUUGAUGCCCACUGGAAUCCAGCAACCACAGAAUCCUUUAUUUCAUUCAGAUACUGCACUCCCUUACACAUAUCAACCACCAUGUUGGGUCCAGUGGUCUCAGGGCCAAAACACCAAAUCUUUUUCGCAAGAUCCUUGUCCCACCCAUACUCUUCAGACAAGAUCUUAGAACGAACCUUGGGGUCAUCUCUUGGUCCAAUCUUGCCAUCAUCAAUUGCUUCAGCCAGACCAUCCUCCAUUGGCCUUGCUUCCAUGUACAGACGGUUGUGCUUGUUGGGUGACUUGCUCAUCACAGUGCGGCAUGACCUCUCUAGGACAGUCUCCCUGAAUGACACAACAGGGUCGGAUUUAAUAAUCUCAGCUCCACCCAUGAAGUCGUCCUGCAAGUCCUUCAAACAGAUCUCCAGAUGAAGCUCUCCCGCACCAGCAACAAUGUGUUCACCAGACUCUUCAAUGGUACAAACAACCAUAGGAUCUGAUUUGGCCAACCUCUUGAGACCUUCAACAAGCUUGGGAAGAUCUGAGGCAACCUUGCACUGAACAGCAACACGAACAACAGGGGACACAGAAAACUUCAUAGCCCUAAUAGGGUGUGCAUCAACUUCCUUCUCAUUUGUCAAUGUAGCAUUCUUAGUGAUGAAUUGAUCCAAACCAACCAAAGCAACUGUGUUACCACAUGGCACAUCCUCAACAGUUUCCUGUCUCUUACCCAUCCAAAUGACAGUUCUUUGAACACUCUUAACAUACAAAUCUUUUUUCUCUCCAGGAACAUAAUUUGGUCCCAUAAUCCUUACCUUCAAACCAGUUGAAACCUUGCCAGAGAACACACGUCCAAAAGCAAAGAAUCUACCCUUGUCAGAUGCUGGAAUCAUCUUUGACACAUAGAGCAUAAGAGGACCUUCAGGGUCACAGGCCCUAAUAGAUGCAGCAUAUUGAUCAUCAAGAGGACCCUCGUACAAGUUUUCCACACGAUACUUCUGAGCAGUUGAUGGAGAGGGAAGAUGAAAGAUCAUCAUUUCCAAUAGAGCAGUACUUGCUGGAAGCCAGGUUUGCAUGAC